rnacentral:lncRNA from 1 species
ACACACAUCCCUUUUUAUUAUGUUUUUUUUAUACACCCAUAUGUCAUUACAAAUAACACAAAUUUAAAAUAAAACAGACAACACAUCACACAAAUAAAAAAAAUACAUAAUAGCCCCCAAAAAUCCAGGAAACUGCUAGGAAGGCUUCUGGCAAUGCAGGAACAGUGGCGGCGCGUGGUUCUCACUCGCCGCCGCCACUGGCGGCGCGUGGGUUCACGCGCCGCCGAAAAAAAUAACAGGGGAGAUCUGCAACGGCUUCCUCCCCUCUUCAUUGUCUUCGCCGGCGGUGACAACCAUCGUGACCUGCAACAAGAAAAAAAAAAGAAAAACGCAGGCAGUUGAUUUUAAACCAUUUCUUUUUUUUUCAAAUAUGUUCUCGGUCUUCCCCCUUUUUAGAUCUAUUUCUUCUGUAGGUCUGUUUUUCUUUGUUUCACCUUCUUCUCUGUUUCAGGUGGCCGGCGGCAAGGAGGAAUUAUUUAGAAAGGGGCAUCGCUGCUGGGGAAAGGAACAGCGGUGGCUGGCCUUACUGCUGCUUGUCUGUCGCCGUUACCGUUGAGGAGACCGAAAGGGAAGAAGAUCUGUUGAAAUGGGGGGAGCUCCGCUGGUUUCUGUGAAGGCCGAAUGAGUCGGUGCCUGUGAGGGGGAGAGGGAGAUCGUGACUGAGGGGCUAUGGGUUUGUUUGACCAGCUGAGAAAGGAGAGGGACGAUGGUGGAGCGGCUGUUUGAGAGUUAAAUGGGAGACGGGAGCAGCUGAGUCUGUUUGAGAGAGAUGAGGGAAGAGACAGGGCUCUGUCGAAGAAGAAGAGAGGAUGAGCGGCUACAUUUUGUUGGCUAGGAGAGGGGGAAGAGAGGCGGUGUCCGGCGGCUCUCUGGCUUUUGGCCAAAAGAGAGGGGAUUGGCUGGAGGCUUGGAAAAAAAAUAUAUCAAAAGGGAGGGGGACCCCGGAUUGUUGGCUUGUUUUUGGCCAAGGACGGGGGCAGCCACUGUAGCCUUUUUUUAAUAAAGAGAAUAGGGUUAGGUUUUUUGUUUGCCCUCUAUUUUUAUCUCUAAAAUUCUCUCUUCUUCAUUUU